rnacentral:rRNA from 1 species
AGUGAACGCUGGCGGUAGGCCUAACACAUGCCAGUCGAACGGCAGCACAGUAAGAGCUUGCUCUUACGGGUGGCGAGUGGCGGACGGGUGAGGAAUACAUCGGAAUCUACUUUUUCGUGGGGGAUAACGUAGGGAAACUUACGCUAAUACCGCAUACGACCUACGGGUGAAAGCAGGGGAUCUUCGGACCUUGCGCGAUUGAAUGAGCCGAUGUCGGAUUAGCUAGUUGGCGGGGUAAAGGCCCACCAAGGCGACGAUCCGUAGCUGGUCUGAGAGGAUGAGCACCCACACUGGAACUGAGACACGGUCCAGACUCCUACGGGAGGCAGCAGUGGGGAAUAUUGGACAAUAGGGGCAAGCGUGAUCCAGCCAUACCGCGUGGGUGAAGAAAGCCUUCGGGUUGUAAAGCCCUUUUGUGGGGAAAGAAAAGCAGCAGGUUAAUACCCCGCGGUUCUGACGGUACCCAAAGAAUAAGCACCGGCUAACUUCGUG